UUCUCCAUCUUCUUAUGCUUUCGUUCCUCUUAUUCCUGCUUCUUCUUCUUCUUCUUCUUCCUCUUCAACUCCUUCUUCUUCAUCCAAAGAAGAACAAGAAAAAAGGAAAGAGUUUGAGGAUGAAAUUGAAGAGGGUUUUCAAUGCGA
rnacentral:ribozyme from 13 species